CCGGGGGCGACGAGCUGCCUUGGGCCCGCCGCUCACGGGGAGGCGCCUUCCCGAGCCCAUGCCCGUGCCCAGCAGCGGCCGGAUAUGAUCCAAGGUGCUGAAAACUUCCUAACAAAACUCUUCAGCCGAAUCUGGCACGCCUAUGGUUCCAGCUACUGGGUAGACUGAGGCAGGAGGAUCGCUUGAGGCCAAGAGUUCAAGGCCAACCUGGGCAACAUGGUGAGACCCCCCCCUCCCCCCCAGUCUCUCCAAAACAAACAAACCCCACAUUCUCCAGUCUUAGGUCUUCAAGGAUGAACAGACAUUGCAGAAAGGCACGGUUGGGAACAGAAAAAAAUGAUCUCCACUCCCCCAGCCCCCUCCACACCUUGGGCACAUUUCCCUGGAGCCGCCCGAGUGUUCUUUGUCAGUGUAGGAAGAAGCAAAAAUCUAAAUGGAGUCAGGAUGGCCUCCCACAUGGGCACAAGGACAAGGCUGGGGACAGUUGGGUCUCCUCAUCUUAUUUCCCAGGUCUAGGCUGAUUUCUAUUAAUAAUUAAAUUAAUCGUUGUUCUCCUGGACCUCACUUCUUAAUGUGAUUCCAGGAAACUGGCCACAUUCCAAAAUUCAUAAUCUAAGGUAGUGAAAUAACGUGAGCAUCAAGACAGUUUGGCUGGGCUCAGAGGCUCACAUCUGUAAUCCCAGUACUUUGGGAGGCCGAGGGUAGAUCCCUUGAGCCCAGGAGUUCGAGACCAGCCUGGGCAACAUGGCGAAAUCCCAUCUCUACAAAAAAUACAAAAAUUAGCCAGAUGUGGUGGCAUGUGCCUGUAGUCCCAGUUACUUGGGAGACUGCGGUGGAAGGAUUGCCUGAGCCCAGGAAAGGGAGGUUGCGGUGAAUGGGGAUCCCACCACUGCACUCCAGCCUGGGUGACAGCGUAAGACUCUGUCUCAAAAACAAAAGAUUCAUUUCUUAUUGAUAAAGCAAGCUCCUUGGAGAAAGAUCUUGGAACCUCAUUGGGAGUGGAGGUGGGGCUUCUUCAAUCCAGCCGAGCUGGCUGUGAAACCCCCAGGGUUUGGUACCAAGUGAGCUCCAGUCCCAGCUGUGGCUGACUGUGUGAACUUGGCUAUGCAUUCAAGGGCCUCUGAGCCUCAGUUUCCUCAUCUG
rnacentral:lncRNA from 1 species